rnacentral:rRNA from 1 species
GAUGAACGCUGACAGAAUGCUUAACACAUGCAAGUCUUUGGCGAAGCUGUGCUUGCACAGCCUAGCCAAGGCGGACGGGUGAGUAACGCGUAAGGAACUUGCCCUGCAGUCAGGGAUAAAAACGGGAACCAACUGAUACGACUUGGUAAAGUCAGGCGGACCCAUGUCAAGCCGGUUGAAAAGAGUCGCUGCAGGGGAGCCUUGCGUCCUAUUAUCUUGUUGUUGGGGAAACGGCCCACCAAGGCGAUGUGGGGGAGCCGCCGUGAGGGGGGGGACGGCCACAAGGGGACUGAGAUACGGCCCUGACGCCUACGGGAGGCAGCAGUGGGGAAUAGUGGACAAGGGGGGCAACCCUGAUCCAGCAAUUCUGUGUGCACGAUGAAGGUUUUCGGAGUGUAAAGUGCUUUCAGCAGGGAAGAAAAAAAUGACGGUACCUGCAGAAGAAGCGACGGCUAAAUACGUG